GCGGAUGUAGUUCAAUGGUAGAACCUCAGCUUCCCAAGCUGAAGACGCGGGUUCGAUUCCCGUCAUCCGCUCCA
rnacentral:tRNA from 3 species